rnacentral:tRNA from 2 species
CCGACCUUAGCUCAGUUGGUAGAGCGGAGGACUGUAGUCGUCGCAGAUAAAUCCUUAGGUCGCUGGUUCGAAUCCGGCAGGUCGGA